rnacentral:lncRNA from 10 species
CAGCUUUAUCGAGGUAUGAAUAGCUUGCAGAAAAGUACACACAUUUAAAAUGUACAAGUUAAUUAAUUUUGACAUAUGUAUAAUCUCAUGAAACCAUCACCACAGUAGAGACAGCAAACUGUAAUAUUACCUCUAGAAAUGUCCUUGGGUCUUUUUGCAAUCCCACCCUUCUGCCCUCCUCCCUGACCUUUUUAUUCCCAGGAAAACACAGGUCUA